rnacentral:rRNA from 1 species
UAGGGAAUCUUCCGCAAUGGACGCAAGUCUGACGGAGCAACGCCGCGUGAGUGAAGAAGGAUUUCGGUUCGUAAAACUCUGUUGUUAGAGAAGAACAGCGCAUAGAGUAACUGUUAUGCGUGUGACGGUAUCUAACCAGAAAGCCACGGCUAACUACGUGCCAGCAGCCGCGGUAAUACGUAGGUGGCAAGCGUUGUCCGGAUUUAUUGGGCGUAAAGCGAGCGCAGGCGGUCAAUUAAGUCUGAUGUGAAAGCCCCCGGCUCAACCGGGGAGGGUCAUUGGAAACUGGUUGACUUGAGUGCAGAAGAGGAGAGUGGAAUUCCAGGUGUAGCGGUGAAAUGCGUAGAUAUAUGGAGGAACACCAGUGGCGAAGGCGACUCUCUGGUCUGUAACUGACGCUGAGGUUCGAAAGCGUGGGUAGCAAACAGG